UUCUCUUCCACUAUUCUUAUCUGCUCGUGCACGCUUUGAAUCUGGUCGUUCAAGUCUCGUAUCUGGCCAUCCACGCUUCGUAUCUGCUCUUCCGAAUUUCCACCACCGUCAGCCAUUCUUCUCCACGACCCAAUUCAAUAAGCAACCAACGAGGCGAGCCCGAUCUGAGGAACACGACCCCCUAUACCCCCAGACGAUGAUUUCUCCACGCUACUCUCAGAGCACAAGUCGUCAUCACCGUUUCCACCAACUUCAAGACCCUUUGCACCAGCAUCCAUGUGCAGCAAACUUAUCUAUAUCAACGUCCAGAAUGUCCACCGGCAUAAAUGUCCAGCACCUCACGUCCCAAUCGUCAGAAAGAAGUCGCUGAGUUGAAGCAAAUGAGACGAAGUAGACCCUAACUCGAAACCUCGACGAGCACCCCGAUACCCAGAUCAAAACUGUCCAAUACCCACCUAAACCGAAUCCCAAACCACGUUCAAACUAUCACCUAGCCAAACCAGUCCUAAAGUAGGUACCGUAUCUUGGAACGCCCGUUAUUGCAUUGGUAAAAAGCUGGGCUCGAUUUUUACGUGUUGAGGUUACAGGGAGUCUGUGUUUUUGAAGUUUUGUGAGGAUCCAUUAUAAAAUACAACUCGGGAGAAGAAUGUGGAGGUGAUGUAUGCACAAAAGUAGUUGAUGUUGAAUUUUACACUAUAUCUAUAUGGUUAGAUUUGCUAUUGCUAUCACCAAUAUUUUAAUAAAAAUUUGAAACAUAAAAUAAAAAUUAUUUCUAAAUUUCCAUUACAAAUAAAGAAUAGGCCAACUUUGCAUGAAAUUUGUUUGAAUGGAGUUGAAAUGCAACAUUCUCAAUGUGGUGAUUAAUUGGAAUUUUCAUUCUGCAUAAAUAACAACUCGUUUUUACUUAUGAACUCACUUGUUGAAUCAAAUUGUCACAUACUUUUAUUCUCAUAGUCCUACUGAAUAUUUUUAUUUUUCAUUCCACUAAUGACAAAAGAUUGUGGUAAUUUUUUACUUUUAUUUUUACAUUAGUGUGAUGAAAUUUGUCUAUAUAGAUCACUUUGUAUGUUAGUAAUUGGUAGGUAUAUAUAUAUAUAUAUAUAUAUAUAUUUUUAAAUUGAUGGUAAAUUUUCUAAUUGUAAUGGUGCUAUUAUAAGCCAAAAUUAUCAAGAACAUGAAUCUCAAAGAAUUGAAAGAUCAAGACACUCUUGUAUCACUCAAACUGACUAGACAAUAACUCAAAGAUUGUAUAAUAUUAAAAUAGAAUAGCUAUCACCAAAAACAAGAAGAUUGGAAAGUCUUGAAAUAAGACUAAGGACUAGAAAGAAAUUGAUAAGAGUGAAGAAGGCUUCACUCUUGCCACUAUGUAUUCUAUCUAACUAAGAGCUACAUGACAACAUUAUAUAAGACCUUUGACAUGUGUUCAAAUUGCGAGACAUAUGUCUUAACUUCUAAGAGAAGUUUUCUAUAUGUGCACCACAUAGUUAGCUUGUUCCACAACCUACCAACAUAUGUCACAAUUGGCUAACUUGUUGACUAAGUUUCUAACCUACAAACGCGUAUAAAAUUAAAGCCGCAUCUUUGAAGCUUUUCUAGAAGAUUUUAUGAAAUUAAUCUAUUUUUAUCUACUUCUAUUUAAUUACAUAGGUAAUUAUUGGAAUAAAUAUAUAGAUAUAUAUUUAUAUAUAUAUAUAUAGAUAUAUAUUUAUAUAUCCAUGAUAAUAUCUUUCUUCUAAGGAUAAAUUCCAUAAAGAGUUGUCACCAUAGAUUAAAAAAUUUUAAGUUGUAGAAAAUCAUGUUUGGUAGAUAGUUUGAUCUUUGUUGUUUUUGAAGAUUGUUGAUAGGUCAUCUCAACUAUUGAUAAUAUUUCAAACUAGCGUGAAAAGACUACCUUGUUAUUUGAUCAUUGUCAAGGCCUUCAUAAAUUCUUUCAAAAAAAAAACAUUUGAAAUAUUGUUAUGAGACUUUCCUAUCUCUAAUAUAAUCACCAAACAUUGGAAGUCACUUCCAAGGUCAUGAUACCAAACACAUUGUAUCUUACCAUCUAUUCAAAGAAAAACAACUCAUUCUUUAGGAUCUUCAAUUUGAUUGCGUCAUCUUAAAAGUUGUACCAAUUGUAAUAUCUAAUCUAGUAAGUGAAUAAAUAAUAGUUCUUGAAUUGAAUUUGCUUGUUGUUGAUUCUCUAUCUCCUUAGUGCCACAAUUAUAAAAAAUUAGAAACAAAGAUAAAAGUUAGAAUGCUAUCUUUUUUAAAUCUUGUUUCUUUUAUAAUAUUUUUUUUUAUCUUCUAUUUUGAUCUUGAUUAAUGUCAUUAAUAAAAAGCAUCAAUCCCUUUUCUUAUAUUUGCAAGAUUUUUGUUGACUUCUAUGUACAUUUAUUAAUAUUAUAUCUAUACCAAUGAAUAAGAUAUUUUAAAUUAUUUUGCUACUACCUUGAAUCUAAGACUUCUUCCAUUUCAAGUUCUUCAUUAUUAUCCACUUCUAUAGGAAGAGGUGGCAUUUAUCUUUUUUUUUGAAAUAUUCACUAUUUCAUAUUAUUUAGAAAGAAAUAUGUAGAAUAUGGGAUGAAAUCUCAUAGACUUUGGUAGAUAUAACCAAUAAGCAACAUGAUUGGUUCUUUUACAAAUAGGAAAUGGUCUAAACUUAAGGUAAUCCAACUAGUUAGAAGAAUGUCUAGUCUUAAUAUUGUGAUGAAGCAAUCAUAUCUUAUUAAUAACAUAGAAUUGAAGUUGUUCUUUGUGAUAGGCAUCCACAUUGGUCCUUUAUUAUUUAUGAGCUUUUUAUGGUUGUAGCUUCAUUAUUAUAUGUAGCUCAGAUAAAUGAUUCAUCAAAUCUUUUGUUGCGGGAUUAUUAACUUUUGAGAAGUCAAAAACAUCAAAUUAUAGAUGAUAACCAUAAUUAAUAAAAGAAAAGUAUUUAUUGUAUAGAAGAAUGUAUUAUGUUGUUAUAAAAGAAAUUUACCAAUGUCAAAAGAAUUGUCUAAUCAUCUUGUUGGUAGUUGAUAGUAUAUCUUAAACAUAGUUCUAAAACGUCUUUAAUGUAUUCCAUUUGUCUAUAAAUUUGAAAAUAAAAGAUUGAAAUAACUUCAUGUCUAUUUCUAAAAUCUUAAAAAGAGGUUUCCAAAAUCUUGAUAUAAAUUGAGUCUUUCUAACUAAUAUAAUAUCUUUGAGAUCUCCUCAAAAGUAUUAAAUUUUAUCAAGAAAAAUAAUUUUAUUUCUUUACUUGUGCUAGAUUUUCUUAUUUGGUAUAAAAUACACCAGCUUGAUCAAAUGAUCUACUAUCUCAAAUGUGGAAUCAUAUAAAUAUCAGACAAGGGAUAAAAUGUAUAGAAAAAAAAGACCAUGGUUGUUUUGAAAUGUGUAAUGGCUGAAGAAGUCGAUAAGAAUGAUGACAAGAGAUGUUUGAUCUUGAACAAAUGUCGCAUGAUUGUUCAAAGUCUUUGAAUACCUCCUACAUUUGAAGCUACCAAAAAUCUUUAGAUAUUUGGUCCAAAGUUUUGUUCUAUCUAAAAUAAAAAUAUGUUCUAAUGGACUUAGUGACAAUUCAAAAUAUGUACUGACAUGAAGUACUUGAGGUUCUUAUGAUUUGUAUAUAUGAUAAUUGAACUAGAAGCACUUUUUAAAUAAUGAAGCUAUUCUUAAAAUGAUUCCUUGAUUGCAAGAAGUACUUUUUUGUAGAUCUUAUAGUUAAUCUCAACUGUUGAAAAUUUCUUGAAAUGAAAAGCUUCCAAGUAGAGCUUGUCAUCUCUUCCUAUUUGUGACAAAAUAACACCUAUAGCAAAAUCUAAUGCAUUUAUUUUUAUAAGAAAUACCUUGAAAUAAUCAAUGUGAUAUAAGAUUGAUACAAAAAUAAAUGUUGUUUUCAAGACCCUAAAACUGGUACACAUUGAUAGUUCCUUGAGAUUUGAUUGCAUCACCUUCAAGCUUGCAGUGGCUUAGUCUUCCGAGGAAUGCUCAAACUUCUAAUGAUCCAAUGGAGAUCUUUGGUACAUCAAUGGAGUGCAAAGAAGCUUUCUAGGCAUUUAUAAGUUAAAGUCUUGUUGGUGUGUUUAGCAAGUGCCGAAUGAAGAUUCACCAUUACAAAUACAAGGUUAUCUGUAUCCAUUGUGUCACUUCUCCAAAAUAGAUCUAUAUAUUUUCUAAUUGGAUUUUUAACUUCAUUGUUACUCGAAAAGGCUGGAACUUCUUCCUUUCGUUUAGGAUUUAGGAAUUUUGUUGAAUCGUCUACUUAUUAUGAUCAAAUCCAUUUAAAAUUAGCUCUUAGUUUGUUGAGUUGCUUAGAUUACCUUGGAAAAGAGUUUGAUGUAUGAGUACUUGCAACUGUUGAUAAUGCAGUUAUUGAUGUCAUGUUUCAUGUUGCAGAGUAGAGAGCUUGAGUAUAAUACAAAGAGAGAGCCUUUAGUACUAGAGAUGUUCUCUAUUCUACAUUUUUUGAUCAAAAUAUUCCUCGAUAAAUUGGGACUUCAAUAUAAAGAUUCAAAUAUCUGAUAAAGUUAUGUAAUCUUUUGUAUUUAAAUUUAUAGCAGCAAUAACAAACAAUGGUUGGUAUAGAUAUCUACCUGAUUUAGUAGAAGUCCACUUUUCAAACUAACAUCUAUGUAAUACUUAAGUGAUACUCUUUGAAUACUUUGUUGAUACCUAGCCUAUUAUAAACUAGUGAAGGUUGCCUCUAUUGACAAUUACUGAUAAUCAUAAUGUUAUCUGACUCGAUCAGUUGUUUUUUAUAAAAAUCAUCUAAUUUUAGGAAACACUAUGCAGUGAGAUUCAAAGAUGGAGUGACUAACUAGCCAUUGAAGAAAAACUUGGGAAUUUACAUAUAAAAUGCAUUAGUAUAAUGAAUCUCAUUCCAUGAAACGUAGCUCUCAAGUGUCACACAUGUUGAUUGCUCUUAGUGGCAUGAUCUAAUGUUGUCACAUAUAAAGGUUGAGUUGUAGUUGUAGGAUCCUCUAGAAGUAGAACAUGCCUAUAGAGUGUUGGUAAACUUUGCCAAAAAAAUAUCAUUAUGAAGUUGCCUCUAGAUAAUUUGAUUUAUGAGAGUAUUGUAUCAAACUUAUUAUAGUUCACCUAGUUGGUAAAGGACUAAAUGUUGGCAUUAUAGUUAUCCAUGAAGAAGAUCUUCAUGCCAUCGCUACCAAAGCUUAUUCGUAGGUCCUUAUAUACCUAUUGCAAAGCAUCACCAUAAGUGCGAUUGAUGGCAUUGAUGUCAUCCUCGCACAAGUGCGUGUCCUUAGUCUAGUUGAAAAAUUAUAUCAAAUAUACCAAGUUACAACUUUUUGGCAAUAUGUUGCCAAUGAAGAAGAGCUGUGCACCAAAAUCAUGAAGCGUCUAAAAAAGUAGGUCAUUAAUUACAUCCACAACACAAAUAUCAAAUAUAAUCUCAAAUAGACACAAGAGAUAGGAUUUGACUUACGGUGAUGGGCGCCUUGAUUACAACAACAACAGCUGAAACAAAUGAGGCAAUAACUACCAGCCACGGCAUGUUCAGCACAUUUGUGAUGACAAGCAAGUCAAUGCCUCCAAUUUCAAGAAUAUGAUAUAUACCAUUGCUGUACGUAUUCUACAGUAGUUGAUACGGACCUUUUGCUGCACAUAUAAAUUCUAUCCAAAUCAACCUAGACUUUUCAAUACUAGAGAUAUUUUCUAAGUACAAUUCAAGUUUCUUGAUACCUUCAUCUGUACUCUAACAAUAAACUCUAUUUUACAGAUGUAGCAUAGAUUUAUCACAUGGGUAUAGAGAAUAUCACAAAUCUAUUGAAAAGAGCUCAUUUGGCUUUAAGAAAAUUACCAAUUAUUUGAAAAGAAUCUUCCAUGAAUACAUGCUUCAAAAACAUUGCUUCAUUAUUGGGAUUCUAUGAUAGUUAUUCAUUAUUUAGAUAGUUUGUUGUAAACAUUGGCAGUCUCUAAACAUGAAGAUGUAGAAUAUUUCAAAUCCAUUUUAAAUCUCAAAUUCAAGCAUAAACUUGCCUAUGAUGAAUAUUAAUCCUCAUGAAUGGAGAUGGUUAUCCAAUGCUUAUAGUGUGGGAGAUAAAACCUUGUAUUGAGUGCCUUACUUUUGAAAUUGAGAAAAUUAUCAACGUAUAAGUUGAGGUAGAUCGGUGUCAUGAUUGUGGUGGCCUUUGCAAUCACAUGAGCAUAGGCAAAGUUGGCACUAUGCAUAUCUAGAAUGCUUUAGGGCACUUGAAUUUCUUACUUGCCGUGCUUGCAAUUGGCACCAUGAGCAUCAAAUUUAGCAAUAGUACCAAUUCAACCAUUGCCAAAGCCAUCUUCACUAUAAAAUUCAUGUCGCUAUUAAUGAAUAAGAUUAAUAGUAUAUACACUACAAAUCAUGCCUCUGUCGAUGAAAUUGAGAAUGCUAAUCAGACCUCUAUCAAAGAUUCAAAAGCAACUUUUGCUUCUUGAUUCCAUUGGAGUUCGUAUUUACAAGUCAAACGUAUAAGUGGAGCUUCAACUCGAGAGUAGUCUUUGAUGAAGAUCCGAUAGUAGUUGGCAAAUCCUUAAAAACAUUGGACAUCUCUUACCAUUUUUGGGAUCGUCUAAUAUAUAAUAGUUUCAACUUUCUUAGGAUCCAUAAUAAGUCCACCAUUUGAAAUGAUGUAACCUAAGAAAUUGACUUGAGUAGUAUGGAAUACACACUUUUCUAUCUUGGCAUAGAGUCCUUCAUCUCUUAAUUUUUGUAAUACACGACAAACAUGAAGUUCAUGUUCUUCUGGAUUCUUAGAAUAGAUCAAGAUGUCAUCUAGAUAAUAGACCACAAAAUCGUCCAAAAAUUCUUGAAAAACAUCAUUUAUUAGAUAUUAAAAAGCUGCUGGUGCAUUUGUUAGUCCAAAAGGCAUGACGUUGUAUUCAAAAUGUCCAUACCGAGUUCGAAACAUAGUCUUCCAUUCAUUUCCUUCUUUGAUGCGUACUAGAUUGUAUGCUCCUCGGAGAUCUAUUUUUGUAUACAUCUUAGCUUGAUUCAGCUAAUCAAGAAGUCUAGAUAUUAAAAGUAGUGGAUACCUGUUCUUAAUAGUAAUCUUGUUGAGUCCUCGAUAAUCAACACACAUCUGCAAUGAUCUAUCUUUUUUCUUCACAAAUAGAAUUAGAGCUCUUGUGGGAGAUUUAGAAUGGCGUAUGAAAUUCUUGGCUAGAUUUUCUUCAAUAUACUCCUUGAGUUCAGUCAACUUAUUUUGUGAUAAACUGUAGAUUGGUCCGAAUGGCGGUUGUGCUCCUUCUUAAAGGUCAAUUGAGCAAUUAUAGAGACGAUGUUCCGGGAGUGUAUCUGCAUUCUUUUUUUUUAAUACAUCUUAAAAUUCUUGAUAUUGGCUUGAAAUGCCACUUGAAGACUUUCCACCAGUAGGAACAAGUGUGGCAUAGAUAAUAUAUGGUGAUUCUUUUAUAGCAGCAUGCAAGAAAGCUUUUGUACCUAUAAAUACGGAUUUAAUUGAACUGGACUUAUGACUCUCUACUUGAUUAAUCUCACUAUUAGUUAUACUUUUAGAGAAAGUAAGAAUUCGGAAAAUCCAAUCUAUUUGAGGGUUGUAUUUUUCUAACCACGAUAAAUCUAAAAUGAUUGGAUUAGAGAGAAAUCUAAUGAUAUUAAAUACUACAAAGCUAUUAUGACCAUUGAUUAUUACUUCUAUAAGAAGGAUUUCGUGAGUAAUAUCUCCAAAAGACAAUGAACGACCAUCUAUGACUUCUACAUGAACAGGUUUAGUUUUCUUUACUAAAGAUAUGCUAUGUCUUUUAGUAAAUUCUUCAUCUAAAAGACACGAUGAGGCUCCCGAAUCUAACAAGCCAGAGACUUUGUAAUGUUUAGGUCCUAAAAUAAUAUUUAAUGUAAAACAAGGAGAGGGCUCUGAAGAGAGAAUAGGACUCUUACUAGAUGUUGUGCAAGGUUCCAGCCGCAUGGUCCCUAUUGUAGUUGGACAAAUUCGUUUUCUGACAUAUUGUCUUCUUUUACAGCCAUACUCUUCAUUUUUUGAUUACGUCGUAUCUUUGGACAAUGUUGAGCAGUGUGCUUUGAUUCUCCACAAUAUAAACAUAAACUUUCUUCACGACGAUGAGUCUUUUCUCGCUCAGUAAGAGAUUUGAAACGUACUGCAUCAAUUUGCAUAUCCUCUACUUUCGAAUGUAUGUGAUGAAGAAGUAUUGGUGUUACCAUUGAAUUAUAGUAACAUUGAGGUCGAUUCUCAGAUCGGAAUUCAAAAAGAUGAUUGUCGCACUUCAUAACAAAGUCAAUUCCUUGACUCAAUGUUUGAAGAUCAGGUAAGUUGAGCAUUAAUUUUUUUACCUCAUAUUAUAAUCCGUAGAAAAAUUGGCUAAUAAGUGCAGCAUCAUCCCACUUGAUAUCAGUUGCAAGUUGUCAAAAUUAUAAAGCGUACAACGUUACUGAUUGAUUGUUUUUUCAUAAAAUACGAAUCUUAUUGGUUGCAAUACGAAUUGCAUCAUGUUCUCCAUACAUGGAUUGAAACUCCGCCAAAAAAGCCUCUAGAUUAUCUAAUAUUGGAUCUCAUCAUUCAAAAACAAAUAAAAACCACGAUAGUGCUGAACUUGAAAGAAGCGUACCUAUGAAUCUAACUUGCGAUCCUGGAGUUGGAUAGCUUUAGGAUUGAAGUUCAAUCACAAGUUGAACUUGAUUGAUAAAUCCUCGAAACUUAGAUCUGGUGCCAUCAAACUUCUCGAGUAGGGCAAUUCUUGGUUCUCUAACACUUGAAAGACGUUCCAUCAUAGGAGAAAAGACAUGAUUUAGUAGAGUUGUUGAAGUAGCUACAACCAUUUCUAUAUCUUCACUUCCUGCCAAUCUUAUUGCUCCUUGUGGUGGUAAAUUGAAUUGAUGCAUUGCAAGCAUUAAUUCUCUCAAUUGCUCUUGCAUUUGUGCCAUUGCACUCUUCAUUUCAACAAGUUCUGUUAUGAUAACACUUAGAAAAGAGAAGAUGACUAAUAUCGCUCAAGACAAAUAGAAGAGAGGACUUGAGAACAAAGAAAAUACUAAAGACAAUAUCAGUUUAAAAGAGGGUAAUCCGCAACUUCUAAUGUGCUAAUAUCUUAUCAAGAAAAAGAGGUAAUCCACUCUUAAUCAAGAUUAGACAAAGCUCUGAUAUUGUAGGUGUACUCUUGUCAAACAGUCAAGGACAAGAAUUCGACAAAAAAACAAUCCAGACAAGUGAGCCUUCACUCAAAGAAAGGUAACAAAAUAUAAAUAAAUUAGUAUGUAUAUUGCAAGAAAAACUAGAAUGGCUAUUGCCAAAAGACAAGAAAACUAGAGACCCUUGAAACUAGAUUAGAAGCAAGAAAGGACAAAAGUGAAGAAGGCUUCACUCUUAUCUCUAAAUAUACUAUCUAACUAGGGGCUACGUAGCGACAUUCUACAGGACAUCAAAUAUGUGUUGACUUUGUAGGACACAUGCCUUGACUUACAAGGCAAGUUUUUCUACGUGUGAGCCACAUAGUUAGCUUGAUCUUCAAGCUAACAACAUGUGUGGCACAUGGCCAACUUGUUCACGACAUUUCUAAUCCAAAAAGUCAAUUAAAGACACCUAUGAAGUCAAAGCAGCAUCUAUAAAGCUUCUAAGAAGCUUCCAUAUUAAAUAUUAUAGAAAUAACUUACUUUUACCUACCUGUAUAUGUAAUUAUUAGCUUAUAUGAGUAUGUCCGUGACAUGAGGUCACUCUAUUUCUUGCUGGAUUAGUGGCAUAACAAAAUGAUAACUAUUUUCAAUUGGAUUUGUCAAUGCUUGUGGUAUAGUUUGGUAUUAUAUAGCCAUAACAAAGGUUGCACAAAUAAUUAUCUCAUGGAUUGAUGCCGACAUGAUGCCAUGAUUAACAAUGUUUUUUUUUUUUUAUCAAUGUUUGAUAAAUAUCUACAAUAUUAGUAAGUUGGAUUAUAUGCUAUGGCUUGUCUUACAUGUCUACAUGUCGAGGAGCCAUAAUCAUUGUUGCAAUUUGAAGAUUGCUUCAUAAUCAAAAGCAUAAAAAAAAAAACUAUAUUGAUUAAGACUAGAAAUAUAUGAUGUAUUAAAUAUCUUAUGCUUAGUUAUUUAUUUAUAUAUAGAAAAGAUAAUAUAAGUAGUAUGAAUCACAUAAUUGACUCACUUGUGUAGUUAUUUCAAAAGUUAUAAAUCUUGUAAACUGGCUCUGGAGUUUAUAGAGUAUGAAAUUUGAAUAGUAUUUCAAAACUUGAUUAAUUUCAAUAAUGUAUAGUAUUGCUUGAAUGUACUUCAAGGCAAUGGAUUUAUAAAUAUAUAUAUAUAUAUAUAUAUAUAUAUAUAGAUAAAGACUAUGAACUUAUAUAUAAUACAAACUAAUAUUUCUUGAAUUUACUAUUUCUUUGAUAAAGUGAUGAUAUACUUCAAUGUGCUUUGUUCUUGCAUAGAAUAUAAGGUCCUUAGCUAACUUCAUUAGUGAUUGAUUGUUCCAAACUAGCAUAAAAUUAUCUUGAAUUUUUUACAUAAGUUUUUUGUUGUUGCUAUUGUUAAGUGAGAGCAUCAACAAUAAAGAUUGUAUGACUCCUAUUCUAAUAGGUAAUCUUCUUAACCAAAUGGCUUUUGGAAUUCUAAUAGAUAGACUUACAUAUUCAAAUUCAAUUGAAGAUUUUACUAUUGUUUGGUGUUUUUUAUUUUUUUAAGUAAUUACUAUUCUAACAAUAAUAAAAUAUUAACAUCCUAUAGAUCUUUGUAUUUUGAGGUAUAAUCAACAUCAAUGUAAAUUUAUACAUAGCUAUUUUGAUUUAUAGUAAAGUUCAAAAUCAAAAGUUCCUUUGAUGUAUCUUACUACAUGUUUAGGAUUUAGGAUUUAAGCUUAUAUGUUUGUUCUCAAAACAUUGGCAUAUUUUUUUUGAAAUUUUGAAUUAAUCUACUUCCUCUAUUUUCAAGAGUUGUGAUUUCAAUGUUGGAAUUAACUUUACUUAUGCUUCUUUCAUUUGAUAGAUAUAAAUACUUAAGAUUCAAAGUUUAGGAUUUGAAGUUUAGAAUUUAGGAUUAUAAGGGUGUCUUUGUUCUUGGGCAUCAAUAUUUUUAGAUUUUGACUUGACUUACCUCUCCAUUUAUAAUAUCUAGGAUUUCAAUGGUGUAAUUAUUGUCAUAGGUAUACAUACAUAUUCUAUUAAAUACCUAUAUGAUAAGAUAGAAAUAAGUAAAAGUAAAUAAAAAUAAAUUAAUUUCAUAAUACCUUUUAGAGAAGCUUUUUAGAAGCUUCAUAGACAUUGCUUUGACUUUACAUGUAUUUGUAGUUGAUUGAUAGGUUAGAAACUUAAACAACAAGUUAACCGCAUAUUGAUAGCUUGCAAAAUAAGCUAAGUAUGUGACAUGCAUAUAAAAAACUUGCUUUGCAAGUUAAGAUGCAUGUCUUACAAAGUCAACAUAUUUUAGAGGUGUUAUGGGACAUUGCUACAUAGUUCCUAGUUAAAAGUAUAUAUAGAGGUAAGAAUAAAGCCUUCUUUACUCUUAUCAAUGCCCUUUUAGUCUUUAGUCUUGUUUCAAGACUUUCUAGUCUUUUUGUUUUUGGCAAUAGUCAUUCUAAUUGAAUAUUAUAUCAUCUUUGAGUGACUUUCUAAUUCUUUUUAGUGACAUAAGAGUGUAUUGAGGAUUUCUUUCUUCAAGAUUCAUAUCUUUGACAAAUAAUUUCUUCCACAUGUUCAUAGUUUGGAAAAUAUAUCUACUUUGAUUUGGACUUUAAGAUUUAGAUUUUUGUCAUACAAGGAUUUUUGAAAUUUUUGAAAAAUCUAUUAGAGUCAAUUGGAGGUCGUCUAUUCUAAAUAUGUACUUGAAGUUUUUUAAAAGUGUAUAUAUUUGUAGAUAUUAAGUAUUUGACCAUUUUGACUAGUGAGUUGAUUUUACAUAUGAAUAAAUAUUUUUAAAUUUUGAUUUGACCUGUCUUCUUAUUUUAAGGGUCUAAAAAUCUAAUGAUGGACUUGAAAUCCUAUACAUAUUUUUUAAUUUUGAAAUAUAAGGCAUUUGACUUGAUGUAAUUUUAAGUCCAUCUUUUUUGUACUUUGUCUUUUGAAAGUUUUGAUUUGACCUACCUCUCUAUUUAUUACGCUUUUGAUUCUAAUGAUAUAUUUAAUAUCUUUAACAAGUUUGUAAUUUAAGAAAUAUGAUGUUUUUAAAAUAAAAUAAAAAAAUUCCUUUAAUUAAUAUAUGAAAAAAAAUUAAAAAUAUAUAAUAAAUAUAUAGAAGCUUUUGGAUACUACAAUAAUAUAUUGAAUAGAAUAUGUAAAUAUAUGUCAUUUUUUUUACAAGAUAUUAUAUUUAUAUUAAUUUCUAAAUACAUAAUACAUAUAUAUAUAUAUAUAUAUAUAUAUAUAUAUAUGUAUUUUAAAAUUAUAUUAUCUAUGUUUUAAGGAUUUACAGUUUAGAAUAUUAGGAUUUAAGAUUUAAGAUUAAAUGAAUAUUUUCUAAAAAUGAAUACAUUUUUUUAGAGAUUUUGAAUUGAGUUACUUUUCCAUUUUCAAGGGUUGUAGUUCCAAUGGUGCAAUUAACUUUACUUAUAGUUCUUUAUUUGGUAGAUAUAGGUUCUUCAACCUUUAAAGAUAGAAGUGAUUUUUGAAGAUAGAUUUGACUUUUUUUUAUUGAUGAUGAACUUCAACAUUUUGAAGUUACCUACCUUCAUAUUUUAAAAUAUCAUGAAUCUAAUAGUAUACUUAGUUUUUCCAAAAAGUAUAUGAUUUGGAUAAUAUGGAGGUUUUGAAAAUAAAAUUUAGAAUUGAUAAUUUCUUAUAUUUUUAGAAUUUUGAAAUUUGAAGGUGACUUAUUCUUUCAUUUUUGAUAGUGGUGAUUUCAAUGGUAUAAAAACAUUUACUUAUGCUAUUUCCAUUUGAAAGAUAUGAAGAAUUUGACUUUUUAGGAUUUAAGAUUGACUAUGGAAUCUUAGGAUUUAGGAUUUAGGAUUUAUAAUAAUAAAAUUAUAAUUUAACAUAUACUUGAUAUAUACCAUUGUAAUUGCCUUGAAAAAUUAAUUACAAUAGAGUCAAGGUUUAGGAGUUUAGGAUUUUUAGGAUUUAGGAUUUAGGAUUUAGGAUUAAAAAUGUAUGCCCAUUUAUAAGGUUUAGGAUUUAGGAUUACAAGGAUGUACCUGGAUUUACUAACCUCCUUAUUCUUGGAUUUUGAGUUGACAUAUUACUCUAUUUUUGAGAUCUACAAUUCCAAUAGUACAAACAACUUGCUCUACCAAUUUUUAAUUUAUAAGAUAUAAAGAGGUUUGACUUUGCCUCUAAGAUAGUUGACUUUUGUGAUAUAAGGUGCAUUUGAAAGUUUUGAAAAAGACAUUGGAUCGAUUUGAGGGCUAAUAAUUAUAAACAUGUGAAUAAAUUAUUGUGGAUGUGUAUAAAUAGGAUAAUAUUAGAUAUUUAGUAUUCAAGGUAUUUGAGUUGAUGUAUGCAAUUGAAGAAGAAUAUUUCAGGAUUUAAUUUGACCUGCUUCUUUAUUUAUAGGAUCUACCUAUUAUGUAGUGUGAAUAACUUGCUCUAUAGUUUCUCAAUAUUAAGAUAUAAGGCGUUGCAUUUGAUAUGGAUUUGAGGAUUGACUUUUUGUGUGUUUUCUAUUUUGGAGAUUUUAAACGGAUGUGCCUCUGUGUUUGUCAUGCUUUUGAUUCCAACGACAUAUUUGAAACCUUCAUUGGAUCUACGGUUGAAGAGACACAAGGUUAUAAAAAGUAUGAGUGUCAAAUGGGAUUUAAGGGGAUUCAAGUUCUACAAGCAUGAGUAUGAACGAGAUUUAGGAUUGAAGGUCUACAAGUGCUAAUGUAAAUGGGAUUUAAAGGAGUUUAAGGUCUAUAAGAACGAGUGUAAAUCAAAUUUAAGAAAAUUUAAGGUCUAUAAAUACAAAUGUGAAUGGAGUUUAAGGAGAUUUAAGGUCUACAAAUGUGAGUAUAAAUGGGAUUUAAGUAGAUUCAAGGUCUACAAGUAUAAGUGUGAAUGGAAUUUUAGAGAUUUAGGGUAUAUUAAAUCAAGUGUGAAUGGAAUUUAAGGAAUUGAGGGUCUAUCAAUGUGAGCAUGAAUAGGAUUUAAAGAAUUAAGGGUCCAUAAAUACAAGAGUGAACGAGGUGCAGUAUAGAAUUGAAGAUGUAUUAUUACAAGUAUAAAUGGAGUGUGGUUAAGAUUGAGGUUCUAUUAGUGCAAGUAUAAAUGGGAUACAGUUCAAGAUCUACAAAUGUGAGUGUGAACAUGAUUUAAUGGAUUGAGGGUUUACAAGUGUGGAAGUAAAUAGGAUAUAAGAAAUUUAGGGCCUACUAGUACAAGUCAAAUCAAGGUUUAAGGUUGAGAGUCUACCAACAUGAGUGUGAAUAAGGUUUAGGAUUGAAGAUCUACCAAUGCAAGUGUAAGAACUUUAGUAUCUACUAGUGGGAAUGUAAACAAGAUUUAGAGUUGAAGGUCUAUUGCCAUAGGUAUAAACGAGAUUUAAAGAGGUUUAAGGUCUACAAAUGCAAGUGUAAAUGGGCUUUAAGGAAUUUUUGGAUGUACAAGUAUGAAUGUGAAUCAAGCUUAGGGUCCAAAGUAUAUGACUAAAGUUUGGAAAUUACAAGUGUGACUAAGGGUUUAAGAUUUAAGAUCUAUAAGUACAAGUGUAAACGGACUUAAAGGAUUUAAGGCCCAAAAAUAAAAUCUAUCAAACACACAUGAAUUUACACCUUGCACUAAUGAUUUGUAAGUGCAAAGCCUAUGAAAUGUAUUAAACAUGGAUAUGCCAAUUUGCAUUAUAUUAUCAAAUAAAGUGGCCAGAUUUAGGAUUUAGGAUUUAAAAUAAAAUGAUUUAAGAUUUAAGAUCUAGAAUUAUAUGUGUAUUCUUUAAAAAAUUUACAUACUUAUUUUGGAAUUUUGAAUUAACCUAUCUUUCUUUUUUUAAAGAUUGUGGUUCCAAUGAUGCAAUUUAAUUUUAUUUAUGCUUCUUUCAUUUAAUACAUAUACAUUCUUUGAUUUUUAGAUACUAUUUUUUCUUUUCUUUUCUUUUCUGUUUUUUUUUUAUUUUUAAUACAGAAUUUAAAUAUUUUGAUGAAAUUUAUUCCCAUACUUUGGAAUGUUGUGAAUCUAAUGGUAUAUUUAGUUUUCCUAAAAAAUAUAUAAUUUAGAUGUUAUAGAGGUUUUAAAAGUGAACUUAAGGAUCAAUAAAUUCUUAUGUUUUUGGAAUUUUGGAAUUUAGAGGUGACCUAUCCUCCCAUUAUCAAGGAUUUUGAUUCCAAUGGAGUAAAAUCAUUUAUUUAUGCUAUUUCUAUUUAAAAGAUAUAAAGAAUUUGAGUUUUUAGGAUUUAGAGUUGAUUUUAGAAUCUUAAGAUUUAAAAUUUAAGAUCUAUAAUAAUAAAUUUAUAAUUUAACAUUAAUUUAUUAUAUACAAUUACAAACAUCUUGAAAAAUCCUUCAUAUUAGAUUCAAAAAUCAAAACAAUCCAACAAGAAUUGCACUCAAAUUCAACAAUCAAAGAUUUGACUUUCUUAAAAUAAAUUUGAAAAAUAUUUAUGCUCAUAUCUAGAGAUUUAUGAAAAAUCCCACAAAUAUACUAAUCACUAUUGAAAUUACUUUAAAAAAUCAAUCGCAUUAGACUCAAAGAUUUUAAAAAUUAAAUCAUAUUUGCAUACAUAAUCAAUAAUCAAAGAAUUGGCUUUCUUUAAAUAAAUUUGCCACACAUUUUUGCUCAUAGCUAGAGAUUUAUUAAAAAAAACCCACAAACGUGCUAUAUACCAUUAGAAUUGCCUUGAAACAUCAAUCAUAUUAGACUCAAAAUUUGCUAAAAUUGAAUCAAAGUUGCUUAUGAAAUCAAUAAUCAAAGUUUUGGCUUUCUUAAAAAAUACUUGCGACACAUUUUUGCUUAGAGAUUAAUACAAUACCCACAAAUAUGCUAUAUACAAUUACAAUCACCUUGAAAAAUUAGUCAUAAUAAACUAGGUUUUAAAAUUUGGGGUUUAGAGUUAUAUGUGUGUUUUUAGAUUUAAGUUUUAGGAUUUAGAAUUACAUGUGUAUUUCUAAGUUUAGGAUUUAGGAUUUAGGGUUUAGUAUUUAAGAUGUCUCAUUACAAAAAUGUCAAAAGUUUGAAAUAUACAUAAAGUUCUAAUUAUUAAACUUUAAAUCUUAAAAAAUAUCUAUCAAGUGGAUUGUAUAUAUUCUCUCCAAUUAGUCAUGUAGAGGCCAAUAUAGUGUCGAGCAACGCCCAUACAAUCUAUGUAAAUUUUGUUCUUUAGCAAAUAUCCACAACCAUUAGUCAGAGUUAGGUUUAAGACUUAGAGUUAAAUGUGUGUUUUCAAAAAAUUUACAUACUUUUUUUGGAAAUUUUGAAUUUAUCCACCCUCCCUAUUUUUAAAAGUUGUGGUUCCAAUGGUGCAAUUAACUUUACUUAUGCUUUUAUCAUUUGAUAGAUAAAAACACUUUGAUUUUGAGAUGUAGAGUUGAUUUCUAUUUUUGAUGAAGAAUUUCAACAUUUUGAAGAGACUUACUCUCCUAUUUUGAAAUGUUGUGAAUUUAGUGGUGUAUUCAAUUUUUCAAAGAAUAUAUGAUUUGGAUGAUAUGGAGGUUUUAAAAAGAAAUUUUAAAAUUGAUAAAUUCUUAUAUUUUUGGAAUUUUAGAAUUUAGAGGUGACCUAUCCUCCCAUUAUCAAAGGUUGUGAUUCUAAUGGAGUAAAAAAAUUUACUUAUGCUAUUUCUAUUUGAAUGAUAUAAAAAAAAAUUAAAAAUUAAAAACUAAAAAUUGUUCAAAUUGUAUUAGCUUUAUAACUCAAACUGUAAUAUAAACUAUGCAUCUUCCCUUUCCCUCUAGAUUUUGUUAGCAUACUCCAACCUCUCUUUCUAUCUUCUCCAUCAACCCUCUAUUGUACUUUAACCUAUUCCAACUUCCAUUGUACUUUUUCUCUCCAUGCCUCUUUAUUGAUUAAACACUUGAUGGAAUUUUUCUCCCCAUGCUUUUUUUUUAACCAAAGCAUUUAGAUUUUCUUUUCCAUCUCCUUUCUUACUAAAUGCUUUGGUUUCUUCUUCCAUGUUUUCUUUUUCAUAUAUUUAUUUUUACAAAUUUAACCUUGCUCUCACAAAAUAAUUUAUCUACAGAAAGAAAAUUGAGAAUCUAAGUGGAUAUAUGAAAGAAACUUCAAGUUUAGGUGAAAUUUAAACAUUAGCAGGGGAGAAAAUAAUAAUAAUAAUAAUAAUAAAUAUUUACAUAUAUAUAUAUAUAUAUAUAUAUAUAUAACAGAAAAAGAAAAAAGAAAAACAAAAAACAAAACAAAAGAAUUCAAAUCUCAUGUACACAUCACUCUAAUUGCCAAGCCACGAAAAUCCAACUAAUUAAACACUUCACACCAUGGCAUUGGUUUAGAUUCAAAAUCCACCAUACCCAUCUAAGCAACCUAUGGCUACAUGAUUUGGCACUACUAAUGAAACUUGUAGACAAGAAAAAUGACCAAUUGGAACCACCUACUAGCCUCAUGUAUUGAAUGACAAGAUGAUGCAAUAUGUACACCCAAGAUUUGUGAUUAUCACCACACCUCCUCCCCCUCUUCUCUUACUUGACUUUUACCUUUCUCCCUCCCAUAUUCUAUAUUACAAAUCCAUAUUUUGUAAUACACUGUUGAUUUUACUUAGUGUACUGCUAAGCAACUUCCCCUCACUGGACUUCAACAUAACAGUUGACAAUAGAAGUCACAAUCCAAUCUUUUAUUUAAAAGUACAUCCAACGUCCCCUCUGCACAUCAUGUUUUAUCAAUGUAUGUCUUUGAGACCAAAAAAUAGUGCACGCCUACCUGCCUGCUGGCAUCAAUUUCUACAGAUACAUAUAACCCUUCAGCAACAGAUACACAUAACCAGUCAGAAUCUGUCAGCUGGUUCAAAUUGGACCUAGUCGAGCAUGGAUGCAAAUGCAUAAUUCACGAUCUCUCUGUUUCUAGACACGCCGCAAAGUAUCAAGCGCACGAUAGCACUCUCCAAAUGGAGAGUUGACCCUGCUCUGAUGCCAUUAACACGAUACUUCUAGCUGUAACAAGAUAAGUGAACGUUCCUUGGACAAGGGCUUGCCUUGCAUUUAACAAGGCAGAAUAUAAGGAUAUCUUGCAUCAUUUGCUUCUUCCCCCGCUGCUCCACCAUGUGUGAAAAAAAGACGCUUUAAGCGCACGCGCUCUGCCUCCUGUAACUUCUUGUUGCUGGUAAUACACGAGAAGCCAAAAUCCAGGAUGCGGACAGUAGGCUUCUUUCCCCACACAACCAUAAUGUUACUUAAGGAAACAUCUCCAUGAAGCAACCCGCAUGCAUGGACUGCAGCAAGCGCUUCAAGCGCUGCAGUCUCCACCUCCCGGGUCACCGCCACUGAAACAUAAUCACCACAAAAGGCAAAUAAAUGACAACUCUGCCAGCAGAUUGCAGGUGGUCAAAGGUAUUGGCCCUUCAAAAAAACACACUUCAUAGAAUCACCAUGCCCAGGCUACGAGAAACCCUCAAGACCAGAAUACGGAGAGUAGGAUGCUCCGCAUCUGAGAGUUUUGCAAGAAAUCCUACCUUCUCCAAGCUCAACACCGUCAAUCAAUUCAGUUGCGAUAAAUACAACCCGACCGUUAUUUGUGGUUCCAUAUCCUAUUAAUCGAGGAACAAAAACCCCCCAAAGCUUCUCCAUCCUCGUAUAGGCAACCACCUCCUUCAGGAGAGCCUGCACAAGCGCGGCCAAAGAUGGGCUGGGCAGAGUCAGAUCACAAACAGGUAAGUGCCGCAAACUGCACGUGCACUUGAACACCAGCAUGCUCCACGUUGCAUCUACCAAAGACUACCUGUCAGUAAAGAUGUCACAAACAGGACCUCUCCUCCUCAGUCCCCGGAUUAGAUGAAGUAGCAGCCACUGUGAGAUGUGAACGCAACAUUUCCACAUGACACAACUCCGGCUCACCUCCGCACGUUCCGUGCCUAAGUGGGCAAACUUCAAUGCAACAGGUUGGCCACGCAAACGGCCAUUAACAACGCAUCCACUCCACCCCUCACUACUUAUGACACCGCCCGCCUUUUUCAGGUUCAGGUCCUCCGCGGGGACAUCUUCCAAAGCCAGCUGCGCCCCACCCGAGCUAUGUCUUUCAGACCUGCAAAUGCAGUUGCUGUCAUUUCACCAUUUGCUCUCGACUACGUGUCCGACUUCAUGGAACAAACUUGAAUAGCUGGCUGGACAAGUUACCUUCGUUUUCCAGAGGAAGAGAUAUUUUGGCUCACACGUGCUGUAAAGGUUCGAUCAUUGAUGUCGUCAUCACUGCUUUCGUCGGAAUGUUCAGAGGGGGCAGCUUCAUGAACUAAGGGAAAUUGGCCAUUCCCCGUUGGGUCACCAAACUCAGAGUUAUCCACUGCAGCAGCGUGCACCAAAUAUGACAACGCAGCGAGCACACGCGGGGGCUCAGCACUCGCCGUAAUACCAGCUGAUAUUUUGAGGCAGCCGGCAUUAUCCCGUUUGAAGAGAUACCAAUUUCUUGCAUCGGUUAGAACACCGUAACCCACCUUACACCUGCAACUCAGAGCAAAGGGAUAGCAAAAUGAGAACUGCCACGCAUUCCAUGUCGUUUUGCCAAACGUAGAUCGGGAAACCAAGACGGUACGAGAAAAUCCCACUGGCAGGACGAAGGGAGGAUACAAGUAAGAAGAAGAGAACAAGAUCAUCUUAAGUGAGUCAACAUAGAACCAGGAUCAACAGGCAGUAGAAUGCAGCUUGUUAGAAAAAGGGUUUCCUGUUUAUUGGGAUCGGAAAAGGCAAAGGCCAAGCACGUAAACGCUGAGCUCCAAGCGAAUCUAGCCAAGAGGAAAAACUACCGAGAUAAUCAGGGGUUCAAAAGAAGCUUACAGAACCAUGUACUCAUACAACUGACUAAUACAGCGGGUGAUCCUUUCACCUUGAGAUGGCGUGAUGCCAAAAACGGCGAACCCGCACCUGCCCUCUCCUGCGAUUAUUGGAACCUCUGUCAGAAUGCUUGCAACAAUGUAAGAAUUGGAACACACUAUGAAAAUAUGGGAUAGGGCCAGAUAGAACCUGAUGUGCAAGAGCAGUCUGUCCAAAAUCGGUGGAGAAACCAGGGGUCAUCUCCGUCACUUCCCAGACCUUCAUUCUUGACCUCGAAGACCAAAGCAUUCUUCUCCCUUAAAGUGAUUACGAAAUCUGCUCUAGGGCUUCCGGAAUAAACGUCAACCAUGGCACUUGAACUCGCACCCUCACUCGAUCCUAUCCCGUCAUUUCCGCCUUUUCUCUUGCUGAAGAUAAUGAAUUCCGACUUAAAGUGAAGGUUAGACUGCGGCUCCUUCUUCUGCAUAAAAGAUACCAUUUCCCCCAGGAUAAAAGCGAUAUGAUGAUUCUCAUGCUUCUCUUCCAGUCUAGUGUCCUGAGUGACAGCGGUGACAGCCAUUCGAAACACACGCCUCCUUCUAUCUGCGCUUUCUAGAAAUUCUUCGAUCUCGUUCAUUACAUCCCAAUGCUCUACUCUGACAGGUAACCACAUCCGUGCAUGGCUCGAGCUGCUUGGGUAAACGCCAGCCCGUGAAGAGCGAGUCGGCGGCACGACCUUCUGCACCAGCCACUCAUAUUCUGUGCCCAGGUCUGCAUGCACAACACAAUCUAAGAUUGAACUUGAUAUACACGCACCUUCACAAGCGUCACCGUUCCGAGGAGGAUCCAAACAGGUUCUAGGACAACCCUAUGGACGGAUCGCCUCCAAACGACCCACAAUAAAGAGUAAACAUAACCCAGAACACCUAGUUCGGCAACAAAGAACCGGCUACGGUACAAUCGAGGUCAAUGAAGUAAACUAUCCAAUCCUAUGCCACGACCAUGAAAUUAAACUUCCCCCAGUAAUCCGGCAGCCCCCCGGAAACCUUAAAAGACAAAGAACCUGAGGAGAUGGGCCUUCAAUGACAAGUGACGGGUGAUAGGAGUGACCUCGUCGUUGCAGGAUUUGCGUUUUCUCGUCCCGGAGUUGCGCUUUCUCGUCACGGAGUUGCGCUUCCUUGCCGCGCAGUAGCGCUUCCUUGCCCCGCAGUAGCUUCCUCUCCUCAUCGCCAGGGCAUCUGUUGAUCUCCUCUUCCAAUCUUCCUAUCUUCUCUUCCACUAUUCUUAUCUGCUCGUGAACGCUUCGAAUCUGGUCGUUCAAGUCUCGUAUCUGGCCAUCCACGCUUCGUAUCUGCUCUUCCGAAUUUCCACCACCGUCAGCCAUUCUUCUCCACGACCCAAUUCAAUAGGCAACCAACGAGGCGAGCCCGAUCUGAGGAACACGACCCCCUAUACCCCCAGACGAUGAUUUCUCCACGCUACUCUCAGAGCACAAGUCGUCAUCACCGUUUCCACCAACUUCAAGACCCCUUGCACCAGCAUCCAUGUGCAGCAAACUUAUCUAUAUCAACGUCCAGAAUGUCCACCGGCAUAAAUGUCCAGCA
rnacentral:lncRNA from 1 species